UAGGGAAUCUUCGGCAAUGGACGAAAGUCUGACCGAGCAACGCCGCGUGAGUGAAGAAGGUUUUCGGAUCGUAAAACUCUGUUGUUAGAGAAGAACAAGGACGUUAGUAACUGAACGUCCCCUGACGGUAUCUAACCAGAAAGCCACGGCUAACUACGUGCCAGCAGCCGCGGUAAUACGUAGGUGGCAAGCGUUGUCCGGAUUUAUUGGGCGUAAAGCGAGCGCAGGCGGUUUCUUAAGUCUGAUGUGAAAGCCCCCGGCUCAACCGGGGAGGGUCAUUGGAAACUGGAAGACUUGAGUGCAGAAGAGGAGAGUGGAAUUCCAUGUGUGGCGGUGAAAUGCAUAGAAAUAUGGAGGAACACCAGUGGCGAAGGCGGCUCUCUGGUCUGUAACUGACGCUGAGGCUCGAAAGCGUGGGGAGCAAACAGG
rnacentral:rRNA from 1 species